CCUACGGGUGGCAGCAGUGGGGAAUAUUGCACAAUGGGGGAAACCCUGAUGCAGCGACGCCGCGUGAGUGAAGAAGUAUUUCGGUAUGUAAAGCCCUAUCAGCAGGGAAGAAAAUGACGGUAUCUGACUAAGAAGCCCCGGCUAACUACGUGCCAGCAGCCGCGGUAAUACGUAGGGGGCAAGCGUUAUCCGGAUUUACUGGGCGUAAAGGGCGCAUAGACGGGAGCACAAGUCUGGAGUGAAAUGCCGGGGCUUAACCCCGGAACUGCUUUGGAAACUGUGCAGCUAGAGUGCAGGAGAGGUAGGUGGAAGUCCUGGUGUAGGGGUAAAAUGCGUAGAGAUUAAGAGGAACACUAGUGGCGAAGGCGACUUACUGGACUGUAACUGACGUUGAGGCUCGAAAGCGUGGGGAGCAAACAGGAUUAGAUACCCGAGUAGUC
rnacentral:rRNA from 1 species